GUCAGUGUGGCGUAGUGGUUUACACAUUGGACUAGGAAUCUGGAGACCAGGGUUCGAUUCCCCCUCAGCCA